AAAGGAAUGAAAGCAGAAAUAAACAAUUGUCAUAUCGGUGGAGAGUAGGGUGUAGUAGAAAGGACAGUGAGCUGACAGAAUCUGAGUCCUGGUUUGUGUCUCACUUGCUGAAAAGCCCUGGGCAAGUCAGCUCUUUAACUGAUCUGAAUCUCCUCAUCUGUACAGUGGGUCAGGGAAGGUUGGGACAAGAAAUAUGAGGGAUCCCUUCAGGACUUACAGUCAUCUCUGCUCCUUAUCUUUAUCUUCUUUUAAAAAAAAAUAACAAAUAAAUUUAAGAAUAAGGGAGCCCAGAAUUUUCUUAAAGCACUGAUUCUCAACUACCGGGGUGCCACAGACCCCAGUGAGAAGCUGAUAAAUUUGAUGUGGUCUUUAGGAGCAUGUACAUAUACAAGGAAACAUUCAGUUUAGAAUUUCAGAGUUCUCAGGCAUCUGAAGACUCACAAGAGGAUUGCCAUAGCCAUGAAGGAAUGUUGACCUUAGAGCUUUUGUUCUCCUCCAAGGUGACCUCUGGACUUUGUCUUCCGCAGGGGACUGCUGAUGUGUGUUUCCUUGGGAUUUUGAGGCAUCCCAGAACAUAGUGAAAAAAAUGCAAAGAUUUUCCUUGCAUGUAAACCUUGUCAUUCAGGACAAGAAGCAGGAAGAUCUACCGGACAGAUGGAGAAGAGUGAUGUAAAAGAGGAUGCAUGGAAAGAGGCCAUUUUGGAGUCAGAUGGAUCUGAUUUUGAAUUCCAACUUUAUUACCUACCAACUCUGUGAACUUGGGCUGGGAUGCUCAUUAUCAUGUUAACAUAAUGCAGACUUCAAAUCCAUCUGUCCCUCAAUAUCAGUAGGAUAUAAAAG
rnacentral:lncRNA from 1 species